CCUACGGGAGGCUGCAGUGGGGAAUAUUGGACAAUGGGGGAAACUCUGAUGCAGCAACGCCGCGUGAGGGAAGAAGGUUUUCGGAUUGUAAACUUCUAUCGCGAGGGAUGAAGAAUGACGGUACCUACUAAGAAAGCCCCGGCAAACUACGUGCCAGCAGCCGCGGUAAUAGGUAGGGGGCAAGCGUUGUCCGGAAUGACUGGGCGUAAAGGGGGCGUAGGCGGCAUAUUAAGUUAUGUGUGAAAGCCCGUGGCUUAACCGUGGAAUUGCACAGAAAACUGGUAAGCUGGAGUGCAGGAGAGGUAAGCGGAAUUCCUGGUGUAGCGGUGGAAUGCGUAGAUAUCGGGAGGAACACCAGAGGCGAAGGCGACUUACUGGACUGUAACUGACGUUGAGGCUCGAAAGCGUGGGGAGCAAACAGGAUUAGAUACCCCGGUAGUC
rnacentral:rRNA from 1 species